GAUGAAGAACGUAGCGAAAUGCGAUAAGUAAUGUGAAUUGCAGAUUUCAGUGAAUCAUCGAAUCUUUGAACGCACAUUGCGCCCGCUAGUAUUCUGGCGGGCAUGCCUGUUCGAGCGUCAUUGCUGCCCUCAAGCACGGCUUGUGUGUUGGGCCUCCGCCCCCCGGCUCCCGGGGGGCGGGCCCGAAAGGCAGCGGCGGCACCGCGUCCGGUCCUCGAGCGUAUGGGGCUUCGUCACCCGCUCCGUAGGCCCGGCCGGCGCCCGCCGGCGACCCCCCUCAAUCUUUCCAGGUUGACCUCGGAUCAGGUAGGGAUACCCGCUGAACUUAAGCAUAUCAAUAAGCGGAGGA
rnacentral:misc_RNA from 1 species